AGAAUCAACGCUGGCGGCGUGCCUCAGACAUGCAAGUCGAACGCGAAAGUCCCCUUCGGGGACAAGUAGAGUGGCGCACGGGUGAGUAACACGUAGGUAAUCUACCUUCGGGUGGGAAUAACAACCGGAAACGGUUGCUAAUACCGCAUAAUGCAGCGGCACCUAAUGGUGACAGUUGUUAAAGCGGGGGAUCGCAAGAUCUCGCGCCUGAAGAGGAGCCUGCGGCGGAUUAGCUAGUUGGUAGGGUAAUGGCCUACCAAGGCGACGAUCCGUA
rnacentral:rRNA from 1 species